CAUUGGCCGACAUAAUCAAGCAGAGCAGCAGUCGGUCUGAUGGAUCUGCUGGGGACGGUUCUGCUGCAGGUUCUGGUGGGAUCAGAGGUCCAGAACCUGAAGAAUGUUUCUGUAGAACCGGGUCAGGAUGUGCUCUGUUAACCGUGGGGACAUCUCCUGGUUCAUGAAGAUCCACAGCCAGUUCAGAGCAGGAAUUGGACAUAGUCUGUCAACAUCCCCUUCCUACUGCCAGGCAGAGUUAAAAUCAGAGUUCUGGGAACUAUCUGGAGAUUAAAACCGUCUCUUCUGAGGACAGCAGGCUGGACUACUGCGGGAUGAAGCAGAACCAAAACAUUGUUUACACAGACACCUUCAGUCUUCUAUCAGGAGAUGUGAUGCUCUACACUGAUAUGAUGUCACUUCCUGUUUGGUAUCUGGGACUGAAAGGUCAAAGCUGAGAUGACAAUCAGCAGAUGUUAACUGACCAACAGUUACUGGUUUCUUUCCAGCGGUCCCAGAAACCUGUCCCACCGGUCCGUUGGUCCAUCUGAACAUCAGCACUUGUCCUUCCUGCUCCAGUGAAUCUGAGAAGCUGACCUUCAUCAUCUACCGCUCAGCUAAAAAUCUGUUCCACCAGAAAUCCUCCAGUUCAGUUGUAGCUUCACCUGAUUGACAUCCUGUAAAAACUUCAUUUCAAUCACCU